rnacentral:rRNA from 1 species
UACGUAGGGGGCUAGCGUUGUCCGGAAUCAUUGGGCGUAAAGAGCGUGUAGGCGGCCCGGUAAGUCCGCUGUGAAAGUCGGGGGCUCAACCCUCGGAUGCCGGUGGAUACUGUCGGGCUCGAGUACGGAAGAGGCGAGUGGAAUUCCUGGUGUAGCGGUGAAAUGCGCAGAUAUCAGGAGGAACACCGGUGGCGAAAGGCGGGUUCUCUGGGCAUUAUCUGACGCUGGAGGAGCGAAAGU